UGCAAGUCGAGCGGUAGAGAGAAGCUUGCUUCUCUUGAGAGCGGCGGACGGGUGAGUAAUGCCUAGGAAUCUGCCUGGUAGUGGGGGAUAACGUUCGGAAACGGACGCUAAUACCGCAUACGUCCUACGGGAGAAAGCAGGGGACCUUCGGGCCUUGCGCUAUCAGAUGAGCCUAGGUCGGAUUAGCUAGUUGGUGAGGUAAUGGCUCACCAAGGCGACGAUCCGUAACUGGUCUGAGAGGAUGAUCAGUCACACUGGAACUGAGACACGGUCCAGACUCCUACGGGAGGCAGCAGUGGGGAAUAUUGGACAAUGGGCGAAAGCCUGAUCCAGCCAUGCCGCGUGUGUGAAGAAGGUCUUCGGAUUGUAAAGCACUUUAAGUUGGGAGGAAGGGUUGUAGAUUAAUACUCUGCAAUUUUGACGUUACCGACAGAAUAAGCACCGGCUAACUCUGUGCCAGCAGCCGCGGUAAUACAGAGGGUGCAAGCGUUAAUCGGAAUUACUGGGCGUAAAGCGCGCGUAGGUGGUUUGUUAAGUUGGAUGUGAAAUCCCCGGGCUCAACCUGGGAACUGCAUUCAAAACUGACUGACUAGAGUAUGGUAGAGGGUGGUGGAAUUUCCUGUGUAGCGGUGAAAUGCGUAGAUAUAGGAAGGAACACCAGUGGCGAAGGCGACCACCUGGACUAAUACUGACACUGAGGUGCGAAAGCGUGGGGAGCAAACAGGAUUAGAUACCCUGGUAGUCCACGCCGUAAACGAUGUCAACUAGCCGUUGGAAGCCUUGAGCUUUUAGUGGCGC
rnacentral:rRNA from 1 species